GGGGAUGUGGCUCAGCCGUAGAGUGCUCACCUGGCACGUGCGGGGUCCCGGGUUCAAUCCUCAGCACCACA
rnacentral:tRNA from 1 species